CUUUUGGCCCCACCCUUUUAAAGCACCUUCAGAGGUUCCCAUGGUGACAGUAAACAAGUCUCCACUGUCCUGGCCAUCUCUGCUGUGUUCACCCUGCUCCUGAUCUUUCUGGCUGCUCAGGGACUGACCGCCAAGAUGUGAGGCUGUGAAGAGCAGGAACAGGGAGGCCUGGAGCCCCCAGCCAUUGUCAUCACUUCCCUGAUCUGCCUAAAUUCUGCCCAGCAGUCCGUGAAAAUGAUUUACUGAUGACAUAUGUAAGGACUCUAACUCCCCUCAAGCAAUCUGCUCAUCUCAAAGGUAGAGAAGGAUCCUUUCUUAAAGGAGGAUCUUAUGGCCCAUAAUCAGAGAGGUGGGGGAAGAUUGGAGAGGACAGGGAAGGUCAGAAAGAAAGACUAUGUUUUCUGAGGCCUGCUCCUGAAACUUAAAACACUCCAACAUUACAACAGAAGACUAUG
rnacentral:lncRNA from 1 species